ACUUCUUCCUCCUCCUCCUCCUCAGUCUCUUCUCCACGCCCUCGUUCUUCAUGUUUCUGGAUGUUGGGGAGAGAAGGGACAUGCUCAUUAGGGGCUGAGCAAAAACUACUUUGGAACUUAACAUGUUUCUCCCUCCACUAAGGCAACAUUUCAGACCCUUGGAACUCCUUUGCCUUCCCACUAAACCCAUGGCACUGGGGACAGGCCUCCUGAAUGGGAAGUCCUCUGGUGAAAGGCAAAUCAGAGGGCUAAGGACCAAGAAGAAAUAGCAAAUUCCAAGAUCUGGACUCAAGCCUCCGUCUCCUGGGUGAAGUGCUGGUGGGCGAUCCGGACCCGGUACACGCCCAUGGCCACGACAAACACCAGCAUGCACACAGAAAUGAUGAUGACCACUGUGGCGAUGCUUGGGACCACUGGAACAAGGAAGGAAUCCACAUGACAUGGUAAAUGGAAAGACUAGCUCAGUCUUGAGAUGGAAUAUGAAGGGAAUACCCAUGUGUGGGUUAAAAUCUGCCCUACCACUUCUCAGCUGUAGAUAGAACUCUGGGCCAGCACCUCACCCUGCCUGGGUUUCACUUUCUUCAUCUCUAUAAUGAAUUUAAUAAUUCUUACCCAUGGGUACUUGUGAGGAAUAAAUCAAGUAUUUGAUGUA